CCCUUAGAUGUUCUGGGCCGCACGCGCGCUACACUGAUUCAUGCAACAAGUUCUGUCCUUGGCUGAUAGGCCUGGGUAAUCUUUGAACGUGAAUCGUGAUGGGGAUAGAUGAUUGCAAUUAUUCAUCUUCAACGAGGAAUUCCUAGUAAACGCAAGUCAUCAGCUUGCAUUGAUUACGUCCCUGCCCUUUGUACACACCGCCCGUCGCACCUACCGAUUGAAUGGUCCGGUGAAGCCUCCGGAUUGGCGCGCACCUCGGUGCCGCCGAGAAGUUGGCUAAACCUUACCAUUUAGAGGAAGGUGAAGUCGUAACA
rnacentral:rRNA from 1 species